rnacentral:rRNA from 1 species
UGGAUCCAGACUUUGAUCAUGGCUCAGGAUGAACGCUAGCUACAGGCUUAACACAUGCAAGUCGAGGGGAAACGACAUCGAAAGCUUGCUUUUGAUGGGCGUCGACCGGCGCACGGGUGAGUAACGCGUAUCCAACCUGCCCACCACUUGGGGAUAACCUUGCGAAAGUAAGACUAGUACCCAAUGAUAUCUCUAGAAGGCAUCAGAAAGAGAUUAAAGAUUUAUCGGUGAUGGAUGGGGAUGCGUCUGAUUAGCUUGUUGGCGGGGUAACGGCCCACCAAGGCGACGAUCAGUAGGGGUUCUGAGAGGAAGGUCCCCCACAUUGGAACUGAGACACGGUCCAAACUCCUACGGGAGGCAGCAGUGAGGAAUAUUGGUCAAUGGGCGAGAGCCUGAACCAGCCAAGUAGCGUGCAGGACGACGGCCCUAUGGGUUGUAAACUGCUUUUAUAAGGGAAUAAAGUGAGUCUCGUGAGACUUUUUGCAUGUACCUUAUGAAUAAGGACCGGCUAAUUCCGUGCCAGCAGCCGCGGUAAUACGGAAGGUCCGGGCGUUAUCCGGAUUUAUUGGGUUUAAAGGGAGCGUAGGCCGGAGAUUAAGCGUGUUGUGAAACGUAGUGGCUCAACCUCUGCACUGCAGCGCGAACUGGUCUUCUUGAGUACGCACAACGUGGGCGGAAUUCGUGGUGUAGCGGUGAAAUGCUUAGAUAUCACGAAGAACUCCGAUUGCGAAGGCAGCUCACGGGAGCGCAACUGACGCUGAAGCUCGAAAGUGCGGGUAUCGAACAGGAUUAGAUACCCUGGUAGUCCGCACGGUAAACGAUGGAUGCCCGCUGUUGGCCUGAAUAGGUCAGCGGCCAAGCGAAAGCAUUAAGCAUCCCACCUGGGGAGUACGCCGGCAACGGUGCAACUCAAAUGAAUUGACGGA